AACAUCUGACUCCUCAGGAGUGGCAACGCAUGGGGGGGGGUAUCAUGGGUGACACAGUAUACUCGGUUAUGUCCAUGGUACUGCUCAUGUCUAUAGACGACGGUUACCACUUUCCAUCAGGUGGACCGUCAGCUUGUUUGCCAUUCUAAGUUGUAUAAAAACAAAAUGAGUAAAAAUGAGUAAUCUUAAUGACACUACUCCAGUAGUUUAUCGUCCAUAUCACUUAUCUUAUUCCGAACGAGAAAUAGUCCGCAAUAUAGUACAUGAAUUAGAGAGCGCUGGAAUUGUUAGAUCGUCUACGUCCUCAUAUGCAUCCCCAGUUCUGUUGGUUCAAAAGAAAAUUGGUGACUAUCGUCUAUGUAUUGAUUUCUGUGCUUUGACCAAAAAGACUAUAAAAGAACACUAUCCAUUGCCAAGGAUAGAUGAUCAAUUAGAUAAUUUAUCAGAUUUUAAAUAUUAUACGGUUUUAGAUAUGGAUGAUGUCAUCAGCCCAUUAAAAAUGGGUAUAGCCGGUAUCUUACUCCAAAGGGCCAACAAGGAUUUACCUUUAAUGCCGUAUCCUAUUAUAGCAGACAUACAUCUCCUGAAGAAACCCGGUUUAGUUUUUAUGAUCUAGAGACCUUGGCCGUAGUAACCUCUUUGCAGAAAUUUAGAGUAUGUCUAUUGGGCAUCCCCUUUACUGUAGUUACCGACUGUUAUUCUCUUCGUGCUAUGUUCGAAAAACGCGAUAUAUUACCUAGGGUUGCCAGAUGGUAGAGUGCCAUGCAGGGAUAUAAUUUUAAGAUCAUUUAUAAGCCAGGUACAACAAUGUCCCAUGUUGACGCCCUCAGCCGUAAUCCUAUUGAGGUCCCAUUGAAUUGUUCCGAAGUUCGAAAUAUUAGCACAGAUUGGAUAACUACCGUUUAACAAGGUGAUUCAGAAUUAAUGCGUAUUAUAAACAUAUUAAAUGAUAACGAGACUAAUAGUAAUUUAGAUUCAAAAAAAAAAAAAAAGAAAAAAAAAUGGUGGUAAAGAAAAAAGGGGGUUACUUUGUAGGAAAACGGCUGACGGUGAUCGUUGGGUUGUCCCUAAGGGGGUAAGAUGGCAGAUACUAAAAGCUAAUCAUGAUGAUAUGGGUCACUUUGGAUUUGAUAAGACUUAUGAUAAAAUACAUCCAUGGCUCGUUUAAACAGAACCGGGAAUGAUACAGAUUCAAAUAGUGCGGACGACAACUAGUCUGAUCGUUUGAUUGAUUGCAUAUUGUUUAAAUUAGUUUAUAUACAUAUAUGUACAUAUUGUUAAGUUAUAUAACUAUCAAAAUAAUGGUACUUAUAGUGAUUUAAGUAGUCAAUUUAUAUAUCAAAUGUCAUUGAAAUUAGUUGUUUAAUUGAUUGAAUUCUGUACACUAUAUAUAUAAAUGAGAUUAUCAAUUAAUUUAUAUAAAGGAUUAAUAUUUUUUGGAAGAGUUUAAGUAUUGUUUAAUUAUAUUAACCUGUAUACUGGUUUUACCAAGUUUCAGAAGGACACGUUGAAGAUAUGUAUGAGGCUUUAACGUGAUAUUGUUGUAGACAUGAAGGGGCUACAACAAUUAGUAUAGUGAUUUAAUUAGAUAAUUAGAGACACAUUGAAGACAUGAAGGGGCUUCAAUGUGAUAUUGUUGUAGACAUGAAGGGGCUACAACAAUUAGUAUAGUGAUUUAAUUAGAUAAUUAGAGACACAUUGAAGACAUGAAGGGGCUUCAAUGUGAUAUUGUUGUAGACAUGAAGGGGCUACAACAAUUAGUAUAGUAAUUUAAUUAGAUAAGUUAGAGACACAUUGAAGACAUGAAGGGGCUUCAAUGUGAUAUUGUUGUAGACAUGAAGGGGCUACAACAAUUAGUAUAGUGAUUUAAUUAGAUAAUUAGAGACACAUUGAAGACAUGAAGGGGCUUCAAUGUGAUAUUGUUGUAGACAUGAAGGGGCUACAACAAUUAGUAUAGUGAUUUAAUUAGAUAAUUAGAGAUACAUUGAAGACAUGAAGGGGCUUCAAUGUGAUAUUGUUGUAGACAUGAAGGGGCUACAACAAUUAGUAUAGUAAUUUAAUUAGAUAAUUAGAGACACAUUGAAGACAUGAAGGGGCUUCAAUGUGAUAUUGUUGUAGACAUGAAGGGGCUACAACAAUUAGUAUAGUGAUUUAAUUAGAUAAGUUAGAGACACAUUGAAGAUAUGAAGGGGCUUCAAUGUGUUAUUGUUGUAGACAUGAAGGGGCUACAACAAUUAGUAUAGUAACUUAAUUAGAUAAGUUAGAGACACAUUGAAGACAUGAAGGGGCUUCAAUGUGAUAUUGUUGUAGACAUGAAGGGGCUACAACAAUUAGUAUAGUAAUUUAAUUAGAUAUUUCAGAGACACAUUGAAGACAUGAAGGGGCGUCAAUGUGAUAUUGUUGUAGACAUGAAGGGGCUACAACAAUUAGUAUCGUAAUGUAAUUAGAUAAUUUAGAGACACAUUGAAGACAUGAAGGAGCUACAUAUAUCAAUAAUUCAAGACAUAUAAUAUGAAUAGCAUUAUAUAAUAUACUUUUUUUUUCCCUAUUCUAUUUCACGAGACGUGAAAAUGUCAGGAAAGGCCGAUUGUUAGCAUCUUUACAUUUAGUAUACCAAUAUUUUAUUAUAUUUGUAUCAUAACUGUUGUCAAGUGCCACUGUUGCUGAUUUGAUUUAACUACAAAAUGGUGAUUUGUCAUUUCCGGAAUAAUUAUUUACCCGCCAAAACAGUCGACAUAAAAACUAGAAGUAACAACGAACAGUGAACAGUUGUGGAUUGAACAUUGAUCAGUAAAGACGUAUAAUUUGGUAAGUCGCUUUAAUACAAAUGUAUUUUAAUUGCAAAGUUGUGGAACUGUUAAUACAUGAGUUGGAUUCCCCUAUAA